rnacentral:lncRNA from 1 species
UGUCUCGCAUCCUGCGCGCGCACAAUGGGCGUACCCACACAACCACGACGCACCUAGGCCCUGGCUAGCCCUGCCGCACACGCACACCUCCUGGCGCCUCUGCACCCCCGUGCGGCUACCCCAGUUUGCACACCCACCCACAGCAAACAGGACGGCACACUCCAGCGCUGCUUCAACGCCUAUGCCAAACACCUCAGUGCUGCUGCUGCCGGCUGCUGCCUACCGCCCGCGCAGCAGCCCCAGC